UACGAAGGGGGCUAGCGUUGCUCGGAAUCACUGGGCGUAAAGCGCACGUAGGCGGACUUCUAAGUCAGGGGUGAAAUCCCAGGGCUCAACCCUGGAACUGCCCUUGAUACUGGAAGUCUCGAGUCCGGGAGAGGUGAGUGGAACUCCGAGUGUAGAGGUGAAAUUCGUAGAUAUUCGGAAGAACACCAGUGGCGAAGGCGGCUCACUGGCCCGGUACUGACGCUGAGGUGCGAAAGCGUGGGGAGCAACAGG
rnacentral:rRNA from 1 species